ensembl:snoRNA
CUGGAGGUGAUGACACCCUCGAGCUGACCCCCGUGAUGGUCACUUGUGUUCGUACUGUCUGAUCCGG